rnacentral:rRNA from 1 species
UGCGUAGGUGGUCGGGUAAGUUUGAUGUGAAAUCUCCGGGCUCAACCCGGAAACUGCAUUGAAUACUAUUCGGCUGGAGGGUUGGAGGGGGGACUGGAAUUCUCGGUGUAGCAGUGAAAUGCGUAGAUAUCGAGAGGAACACCAGUGGCGAAGGCGAGUCCCUGGACAACUCCUGACACUAAGGCACGAAAGCUAGGGGAGCAAACAG